rnacentral:rRNA from 1 species
AUAAACCCGGGAAACUGGGUAUAAUACCCGAUAGGUCUCGAAUGCUGGAAUGCAUCGAGAUUUAAAGCUCCGGCGCCUAAGGAUGGGUCUGCGGCCUAUCAGGUAGUAGUGGGUGUAGCGUACCUACUAGCCUACGACGGGUACGGGUUGUGAGAGCAAGAGCCCGGAGAUGGAUUCUGAGACACGAAUCCAGGCCCUACGGGGUGCAGCAGGCGCGAAAACUUUACAAUGCUGGCAACAGCGAUAAGGGAACCUCGAGUGCCAGGUUACAAAUCUGGCUGUCGAGAUGCCUAAAAAGCAUUUCAUAGCAAGGGCCGGGCAAGACCGGUGCCAGCCGCCGCGGUAACACCGGCGGCUCGAGUGGUAACCGUUAUUAUUGGGUCUAAAGGGUCUGUAGCCGGCCGGAUAAGUCUCUUGAGAAAUCUGGCAGCUUAACUGUCAGGCUUUCAGGAGAUACUGUCUGGCUCGAGGCCGGGAGAGGUGAGAGGUACUUCAGGGGUAGGGGUGAAAUCUUGUAAUCCUUGAAGGACCACCAGUGGCGAAGGCGUCUCACCAGAACGGACCUGACGGCAAGGGACGAAAGCUAGGGGCACGAACCGGAUUAGAUACCCGGGUAGUCCUAGCCGUAAACGAUACUCGCUAGGUGUCGGCCACGGUGCGACCGUUGUCGGUGCCGUAGGGAAGCCGUGAAGCGAGCCACCUGGGAAGUACGGCCGCAAGGCUGAAACUUAAAGGAAUUGGCGGGGGAGCAC